rnacentral:misc_RNA from 1 species
UUUUGUUUAAUAGAUUUUUUUUUUCUUACUGAUUUAAACUGAAAAGCUGAAUAGCCAACAGAGGAAGGAGAAAUAAUAUUUUCCACUAUAUGAAGUGAAAGCAAAAGUGAAAAAUCCAAUAAAAGAAUAAAAGAAUCAUGUUUAGUACAAUUGAUGAUAUCUCAGUGUUGUGGCUUAGGAAAAGUUGCAUUCUGGAGGAAAGCCUUGG